GCAUACAGCACCCAGCCUUGUGUCAUAUGCAGGCUAUGCCUUCUUUUCUGUCACGUGCUGACAGGCGACAGCUGCAGGAGUAAAUGACAGUUCCAGGCUGGAGGAAGGCAGAAGGAGAGAAAGAGAUGCAACAAUGGCUGCCAGUGGAUUACACACACCGCCAGGUGACUCCCUCCAUCUCUCAGAGUUAAGGAUUGUACUGCUGGGGUACAGAGGAGGCUCUGGGAAGAGUUCAGCAGGAAACACCAUACUGGGCAGAGAGGCGUUUGACCUGAAGACAACUGCUCAGUGUGUAAAGAGACUGGGAGAAGUAGCAGGGAGGCAGGUCACUGUCGUCGACACUCCUGGCUGGUGGAACAAUCUUCCUGUAGAAUACACUCCUGAGCUGGUUAAACAGGAGAUUUUGCUCAGUGUGUCUGUGUGUCCCCCAGGACCCCACACUCUCUUCCUGGUCAUUCGGGUGGACGUUUCGUUCAAAGAAGAAGAGACAAAUGCUGCAGAGGACCACCUGGAGCUUCUCAGUGAGAGAGUCUGGAGUCACACUAUAGUGCUGUUCACCCAUGGGGACUGUCUGGGAGAAAAAACCAUUGAGCAGCAUAUUCAGAGAGAAGGGAAGGCCCUCCAGUGGCUUGUUGAGAAAUGUGGGAACAGAUUUCAUGUCCUCAACAAUAACAACAGUGGUGACGUCACUCAGGUCACAGAGCUGCUGGAGAAAAUAGAUGAGUUGGUGGCAGCCAACAGUGGAGAUGUGUUUAACCCUGAAAGAGAUUAUAAAGAAGGAAUGAAUUGGAUACCUGAGGAGAUGUGGAAGAAACCAUCUUUGCCAUUAAAGGGAGCUCACAGCAUAUACCCUCUUCUUCUGAGUAUGAGUGGAGGCAGCAGACCUGAGACUGGAUAUGAUGGUUCAGAACAGAUGUCUGGGUUUGGGUCUGUGGCUGAAUCUCUGCUGAGGCUAGUGGUACCUGGAGAUGACAUAUCUGAUACCCAGUCUCUGAGAAGCUCUGUGUACAGCUCCCAGACAUCAGAACCAGUAUGUGAGCACAACUCUGGAUCAAAGAGUUCUAGAGAAAAAUUCAGCUUGAAUUUCAUGAGUUUUGUACUCAGAAGAAUGUUUUGUAGUCAGAAGAAUCCAUGCACCAGUGACACAUCAAACCCUGAAUCUGAACACAGCUCUACAUCUACACCAGCGGAACAUACACUUGCUGUUGUGACAAAAUUAACACCUGAAACAUUCACAGGAUUUACAGAAACAUCAUGCAGGCUCCAGUGCUCCCAUGCAGGUCUGUUCCAGUGCAGUUUGACAGGGCUAGUGUUUCUGAUGAAGGGGGAGGGGGAAGUGCUGUACAGAACUGUCCAAUGGGAUGAGAAUCUCCUGCACUCCACAGGCCAGACUCCUGCAGGACCGCUGUUCAGUAUUGAGUGUCAUCAGGGGUCUAUCUGUCAGCUACAUCUCCCACACUGUGAGAUUCUCUCUGGUGAGUUACACACCACUCACAGCUAUCAUCAAGAUGACCAAUACAACAGCCAAAUGACAGUGGAUGAGUAAGAUAUAUUUGUUUUGCAGGAGAGGGUCUUGAUUCCCUGUCUGUGGCCCAUGUUACUGGUGACAGUGUGGAGGUUUUACCACCACUGAGGGCGACUGACACACACGUAGUGGUGAACAUCACAGACCUCUCCUUUAAGGGGCCUGGUCAGAAUGUUUAGACCCUUCCUCUCCAAUCAUUCGGCCAUCCUCAGUCAGCUCUGAAUGUAAUCGUCCUGCCAUCAAAUGUGCCCCUCAAUGGGGUACAGACCAAAUCCAUGCGCUAACCAGAACAUGUCUUGUCAUGUAUUUUAGAACGGUUGUGCUUACCUAAAGAAGUCUGCAAAAAUAACGAAAUGUUUAUUUUUUUUAUACGUGACCUUCCUUUAGGCAGGAAAUGGCCUGAUAGGGGCUGAUGGAGAUGAGGUGUGGGCAGGACGUGUCCUUCUGCAAGGUGCUGUGUUGAUGGGAGGGGAUCAGGCUGAGACCAAUCAGAUGAUUUCAGCAGAAGAUCUGCAUUCUGUGAGGACUGAUUUUGUAGAUGGAGUGUCAAUACCUGUGCUCGAAAGUCUAUUGGACAGACUUCUGCAACGGAAAGUCUGCAGUAAACUUGAAAUGGAGAAAGGGAAGGUGAUUCUUGAGAGGGCAGUGAAGGCACGUGAAGUCAUUGACAAGCCUGUCCAAUAAUGAAAAUCCUUCUGGUUGAACUGGACCCCUUCUUUUGCCGAACGCUUGGUUUCCACUGAAACAUGUUGGAGUAUGAGUCAUUGAUGAGCAUGGCCAAUGAUGUAUGUUUUCAAUGAUACAAUUGGUCUGUAGUUUGCAUAUUGAGUGAAAUCUAUUGCCAAUUCACAUUAUUAACACUGCGUUUAACAUUUAACAAUGUUCCUUUUACAACGUUAAAAUGUUCUAACGUGAUAAGAUGUUGAAACCAAUGCAAAAACCUUUGUAAAGUGUGACCUGUAGAUAAAACGAAUGAUUCACACCUACACAUGAUUUGGGAUAGUGAGAAGAACAAUGCAAUCACAUUGUCAUUGUCAUGUGUGCUGAUAUUAACUGACAUGUCAAUGUAUUCUUUACCUGCACUAGCUGUCUAUGUUAGAAUAUUAAGCUGUGAAUAAGGCCCGUAGUCACAUCAUAUUCUGUUUGACAUGAUAAUCCCCUCCAUGAUUAGUUACGACGCGAUUGAUGUUUCAUUCAUUCAUUUUUAUUUUUUUAUUUAUUUUUAUUUCACCUUUAUUUAACCAGGUAAGCUAGUUGAGAACAAGUUCUCAUUUACAACUGCGACCUGGCCAAGAUAAAGCAAAGCAGUGCGACACAAACAACAACAAAGAGUUACACAUGGAAUAAACAAACAUACAGUCAAUAAUACAAUAGAAAAAAGUAUAUAUUAAUAAUAGCUAAUCUUUUUGAUUGUGUAUAGUAUUUUAGUCAAAUACAAAAAUGAAUUUAUUUUUGUUAACAUGA